rnacentral:rRNA from 1 species
GACGACUGGCGGCGUGCUUCAUACAUGCAAGUCGAACGAGAAGCUAGAGCUUGCUCUAGUGGAAAGUGGCGGACGGGUGAGUAAUAUGUAGGAAAUCUGCCCCUAGAGAGGGGGGACAACAGAAGGAAACUUCUGCUAAUACCCCAUAUGAGCUUGGUUGAAAUACCAAUCUUGAAAACUCCGGUGCUCUAGGAUGAGCCUGCACCUGAUUAGCUUGUUGGUGGUGUAAUGGACUACCAAGGCGACGAUCAGUAGCUGGUUUGAGAGGAUGAUCAGCCACAAUGGGACUGAGACACGGCCCAUACUCCUACGGGAGGCAGCAGUAGGGAAUUUUGCGCAAUGGGCGAAAGCCUGACGCAGCAACGCCGCGUGUGUGAUGACGCCCUUCGGGGUGUAAAACACUGUCAGUAGGGACGAAUUUUGACGGUACCUACAGAGGAAGCACCGGCUAACUCCGUG